CAAAAUUCCAUCAAAAGCAUCAGUCUUGUUGACAUGUUAUGGUGUCAAAGUCAGUUCCUUCACUGUGUAUGAUGGAACUUAUUUUUGAGCCUGGGGAAGAUGAUGUGACUGAAAGACAAGGUAAUUGGUAAUAGUUCAGGAUGAAGAAAGAUGCAGCUAAUGCCUGAGUCUCAGUAAAAAAAUUUGCUAUCAUGUCAAACUCUAUGCUGUGUCUACAAUAUUAAUUUUGUACUUCUUUAAGGCAAAACAAUGGUGGCAAAGGGGAAGAAAAAACUUGUGGCUACUCAUAAGAGAACCAUCAUGUGGAAAAAAGAAAACCUCCAGGCUUCUAGACAAGAUUCCACUUUCUGCAGCAUCCCUACCAACAUGUGGCAAAAAACAUCAGCAAAAAGUGAUAUUUAAAACAGUCUUUUUGCUACUACAAAUGAGUCACUUCUCAGAGUUGCCUAAAGGCAAUGUGCAAGGCGUGUUCUUUGGAAAGGAAAAGGUUAUAAGCAAGAGUAAGUACCAGAACUUAAAUUUCUCAUUCUGUGUUUGCUAUUACUGUAUGUAUUCCUGCCAUUAGAAGGAAGUUUUGAUUCCUUAUAAUCUCUUAAUAAUUAAGUUUAAAUAAGUGACAUUACAGACAAAAUUAAUUCUUUCUCCUGGACAGCUAUUGCCACCUUUAAUAUAAAAAGACAGUUCAGUGAAGAGAAGUGGAAACCAAAGUUAUUCUUUCUUUUCCCACACUUUUAAUAACUGGUAAUGAAGGUCAUGUCUUUGUCCAUGAAAUUGGAAAGCCAAACCUUAGUUCCUUAAUGUUGUAUGACAUCAGGAUAACUCUUUUAGCUUUCUAGGCUGAUUUAUUCCCUUAAAAUUAAUCAAACACUUCUUCCAUUAUCUCAAUAUUUUUUAUUCUAUUGUAUUCUAUUUAUUAAUUAUUUUUAAUUGUUCAGUAAUGCACAGAAGAUUGUUUGUUUUUCUGCUUCUAGCCAGAGUACAGUUCAUCUCAAACGGUCUUCUGUGGUUAUGGUGGGUUUCGGGGUUUUUUGGUGAUGUGUUAUUCCAGUGAUCUUUAAUGGCUUAGCUGUUAGAUGAUAUCACUUCUGAACUCUACUUUCAUUAUCAUAAAAUUGUUUCCACAUUUUCUGCAAAUAUUCAGAUUCUAUAGUGAGAUUGAAAAUGCAGGUGUUAAUAGUGUAGAAUCUUUCUAAUCUCCUUGGAGGAAGGGCUGAUGAAGGCUUGAAAGGUACAAACUAAAAAAAUAGUAAUGCUCUCCAUUCUAAAAUUCACAUUUUAUAAUGUGAAAGUCUAUGGUCAUUAGCAAAUGUGCAGUAAACUAAAUAACCUUCACAUAAAAUGUCACAUAUGAAGCCACACAGCUUGUUCACUGUAAUGAAACUUUCCACCUCUCUUUAAGGAUAUGAAUGCCAAAAGAUGCUCAACAGCUUGGAAAAAUAUCAGCAGAUAAGUGCCUGCAAUGAGCUAGUGAAGCAAGCAGCUGUACCACCUAGAAGCAAGCAAGCUGUCUUCUGAGGGGAGCCUGAUUCCACUCUACUGAUGGCAUUUUGUGUGAGGUUUAUGAAUACAGGAAUACUGGUCAUUCAGUGAUGUGAAACUAUCAUAUUAGACAUUGAUUUUAGUUUUUUUUUACAGAGCAUUGACUAACAAAUAUAGCAGUGGGGAAUUAAAUGGAUUGUUCUUGCUCCAAACAAUAAACAUCUAACUGUUUUUAAAAAACA
ensembl:lncRNA